UCUCAGUGCCUUCAUAAAGGAACGUUCUUCUCAGACGUCUAGAGAACUGACCCGAGAAGGACCACCACCAACUCAGGUUUAGGCCACGACUCCAUCAGAGCAACUAUCUACCUCUGUUGGAAUCCUGGCCCCUGACGAGUGGCAGAUAGUAGGAUAAUGGAGGAUGAUGCUGCACCAGGAAGUAACAGUCCAUCGGGGGAAACAUGGCCCCAAACAGCAUUCAAGAACCAUAUCCUUCUGUUUAUUCUUAAGGGCAAAGAAUACUGAUGCAGGAACAGCAAUCUAAGACCAGUAGGCAAAUGGAGAGGGAAGGAAAGGAUGCAAGAGUAAAUCUAAGUUUCCAUCUCCGGAAGACAUAGACCCCAAUCUGAAAACACCAAAUUCUGCCGCUAGGAAGGAGGCGUCUUUGG